rnacentral:lncRNA from 1 species
AAAGUAAUUAAACAUACUAUGCUACUUAAAGGGUGUAGCCUACCUUUUCAUGAAAAUUUUAUUUUUUAUUUUUUAUUUAAAACCAAAAAAAAAAUUAAAAUUAAAAAACUGAGUAUAGCCGUGCGGCUAUACUAUAAAAAGGAGGACAGGCGCCACGUGUCUACUUCAAAAGAAUAUAUAUAUAUAUAUAUAUAUAUUAAAAAGCACAGGGUAUAGCCGUGCGGCUGUACCUUUUUUUGUAUUAAAAAAAAGGAACCUGCAGCGAUUAGGCGCCACGUGUCC